CAUAGCGACUAUCGUGGCAUAUCAAUAAGCGGAGGAAAAGAAACUAACAAGGAUUCCCCUAGUAACGGCGAGUGAAGCGGGAAGAGCUCAAAUUUGAAAUCUUCAAGGGUUUCCCUUGACGAAUUGUAGUUUAAAGAAGUGUUUUCUGUUAGAGAGGUGGUAAAAGCUCUUUGGAAUAGGACAUCAUGGAGGGUGAGAAUCCCGUAUUUGACCAUUAUUUCCAACUUUGUGAGUACACUUUCAAAGAGUCGGAUUGUUUGGGAAUGCAGUCCAAAAUGGGUGGUAAAUUUCAUCUAAAGCUAAAUAUUGGCGAGAGACCGAUAGCGAACAAGUACCGUGAGGGAAAGAUGAAAAGAACUUUGAAAAGAGAGUUAAACAGUACGUGAAAUUGUCAAAAGGGAAGCGUUUGACACCAGUGUUGUUUUCUCGAAAAUCAAUUAAAAAUGAUGGGAUUUUGUGUUGUAUUGACUUUAUCAGCUUUCUGCACUUUUUUCUUAUCUUUUUUAAUGCACUUUUCGUUUAACAAGUCAACACCAAUUUCUUUUGUUGUAAAAGAGUCAUUGGAAGGUGGCUUUUUCUUCGGAAAAAGUGUUUAUAGCCUUUGGCUUCUGCAAUCGGAGAGAUUGAGGUCUGCAGCGUAGAUCCUUCGGGGUUAGAUACACUUGUGCUAAGCUAUAGUUCUUUAUAGACAACUUGUUGACUAUAAUCAAUCCUGUAACUUACUCGCUUAUGCUAUUUUACCUACGCUUAGGAUGUUGAAGAUAUGCGCGACACG
rnacentral:rRNA from 1 species